GACGAACGCUGGCGGCGUGCUUAACACAUGCAAGUCGAACGAAGAGCGAUGGACGCUUGCUUCUAUCAAUCUUAGUGGCGAACGGGUGAGUAACGCGUAAUCAACCUGCCCUUCAGAGGGGGACCACAGUUGGAAACGGCUUCUAAUACCGCAUACGAUCUAAUCUCGGCAUCGAGGAUAGAUGAAAGGUGGCCUCUACAUGUAAGCUAUCACUGACGGAGGGGAUUGCGGCUGAUUAGCUAGCUGGAUAGGAAACGGACUACCCAGGCGAUGCUCACGUGCCGGUCCGAAGGGAGUGACGGCCACAUCUGGACUGGGGCCCGGCUCAGACUCCUUCGGGAAGCAGCAAGGGGGGAUCUUCCGGAAUGGACGAAAGUCUUACGGGGCAACGCCGCGUGAGGUAUGACGGCCUUCGGGUUGUAAAGCUCUGUUAAUCGGGGCGAAAGGACUUCUUGCGAAAAGUUAGAAGGAUUGACGGUACCGGAAUAGAAAGCCACGGCUAACUACGUG
rnacentral:rRNA from 1 species